GACGAACGCUGGCGGCGUGCUUAACACAUGCAAGUCGAACGAUGAAGAAGAGAAACGCGAACUUCGGUUCAAAUUUCACUUCGGUUUAGUGGCAGACGGGUGAGUAAAGCGUGAGCAACCUACCUCUUACAAAGGGAUAGCCUCGGGAAACCGUGAUUAAUACCAUAUGACACAUUCAUAAGGCAUCUUAAGAAUGUUAAAGCUACGGCGGUAAGCGAUGGGCUCGCGUCCCAUUAGCUAGUUGGUGCGGUAACGGCCCACCAAGGCGACGAUGGGUAACCGGCCUGAGAGGGUGAACGGUCACAGUGGAACUGAGACACGGUCCAAACUCCUACGGGAGGCAGCAGUGGGGAAUAUUGCACAAUGGAGGGAACUCUGAUGCAGCGACGCCGCGUGAGCGAUGAAGGAAUUCGUUUCGUAAAGCUCUGUUCUAUGGGAAGAAAAGGACUGUACCAUAGGAGAAAGCCCCGGCUAAAUACGUG
rnacentral:rRNA from 1 species